rnacentral:lncRNA from 1 species
GGCGACAAAUGGUGAUUUUAAUGGUAGCAAUGUGGAUAUUUUUGAAUGAUAAAAAUAAUAGACUGGAGGCUGGAAAAUAAAUGGAAAAACGAAAACAAAAAGAUGAAGAAAACGAUUAACAAAACCACCACAAAGGGAGGAAAAGUGGACGGUAAAGAGGGGGAUUGAUGGGGGCGGCACAGUGAAGGAGAAAAGAGAGGUCUCUAAGUCAAUUACAAUGUCUUUUUAUUUUCUCUUAACC